CCUGCUCCUCCACCCUCCAAAGACAGUGCUGCCGGAGGGCUUUUCCAGCCAAUUAGCACCACCUUGAUUUGCAUUUGCCCCGCCUGGUCCUGCCACAGCAUCAGAAGAUACUCCGGGGUCGGGGCUUUUCUCUGACUGUAGUAACUGAAAUGGAUGAUACCAUCUGCCCGCUAAGACUACACCGUCCCAAAACCAGGGUGCUGUAAUCAGUACUCUGGCAGUGGGGGUCUCCUAUCAGCUUUGCAUUACAUCCCCAGCAGAUGUGCAGGCUGCAGGCAGCAGCCCGUCUGUGUCGCUCUGCAACUCUCUCAAGUCUCCGAAAGAGUCAACUCUGCCUGCAUCUGUGUGGUUGAUCUGUCACCAUGAAGCAUCAGUCUAUUUCCCGA